rnacentral:piRNA from 1 species
AGGGUGAGCAGUGGUUGCCAUGAAGC